GAUGAACGCUGGCGGCGUGCCUAAUACAUGCAAGUCGAGCGAACAGAUGAGAAGCUUGCUUCUCUGAUGUUAGCGGCGGACGGGUGAGUAACACGUGGGUAACCUACCUAUAAGACUGGGAUAACUCCGGGAAACCGGGGCUAAUACCGGAUAAUAUUUUGAACCGCAUGGUUCAAUAGUGAAAGACGGUUUCGGCUGCCACUUAUAGAUAGACCCGCGCCGUAUUAGCUAGUUGGUAAGGUAACGGCUUACCAAGGCGACGAUACGUAGCCGACCUGGGAGGGUGAUCGGCCACACUGGAACUGAGACACGGUCCAGACUCCUACGGGAGGCAGCAGUAGGGAAUCUUCCGCAAUGGGCGAAAGCCUGACGGAGCAACGCCGCGUGAGUGAUGAAGGUCUUCGGAUCGUAAAACUCUGUUGUUAGGGAAGAACAAAUUUGUUAGUAACUGAACAAGUCUUGACGGUACCUGACCAGAAAGCCACGGCUAACUACGUGCCAGCAGCCGCAGUAA
rnacentral:rRNA from 1 species